GCAGGACUGAGGGGACAAGAACAGUCACGGAGAAAUAACAGAUGGAGAUGUUGGGAAGGGAAGCUGUUGUUCAUCAGCAAGAGCCACAGAAGAGAUAAAUUACAUUUCUCUUCCUCUUAGGAGGAAGGCACAGACUCACCAUUUCGAAGAAGACUUGAAGAUGGAGGCUGAAGAGGUUUAGAACUUAUCUGGCAACGGUUUCCUUUCCAUUCUUUUCCACAUCUGUGAAUAAAACAACAAUUUUUGGCAAAGAAGGAAGCAAGGAUCGUGAACAGUGACAAGCACACAAGAAAUGCAAAUCCUUUUGAUUACUUUUGCCAGUGCCUAAAGCUUACCCAAGAAUCACAAAGAGCAGCAUCAAAGUUAAUAGAAUGAAAUAACUUACUUGACUGUAGAAGAAAGAAUGAGAAAACAGAUUUGCAGCUGUGUGGAAGCACUAGUCAGACAUGACAAGAGAGGUGCCAUCUGCUGCUCUGGAAUCACUGAGAUGUGGAUCACCUCAGAGGUGUGAAGAGGUAGUUCCAUAACGCAAGCGUACGUAGGCACGUACAUUUACAAACCCUUAAUGAUGACUAGUGUAAAGGGUUAUUAGAGGUAUAGCUACAUAUUGACACCUAGAUUUCUGGUGCUCCACAUGAUAAGCUAAAUCCCACCCUGAGUGUCACACUUCAAUGACUUACACCAACUUGUACCAGUACAAGUAUAGGAAAAUCCUACUACCCAGUGAUAACUAAACUUAUCUUUAUAUGCUAUGUUUCCACCUAGUGAUGAAAUAUUUCCACAUAUUAAUGGUGUUUAAACUGUUUUUAAAAUUUAAUCACCUUUUAGUUAGGUAGAUAACUAGUUCAUCUUCUUAUAUUUACAUACAGGUUUUAAAAUCAACUACUAACUUCCUUACAUUGACCAUGUAUUCCCCUCCACAUCUCUGAAUCCCAACAUAUUGUUUUAUGUUACGUGACACAUACCGGUUGGGAAUCUGAAGUCAGACUAUCAAUGGGUAAUUUUGAUCAGUGAAAUGAUUUUCCACUGCGUGGCACUAGGUUGUUACCAAAAGUGUCACCUUAUAAUACUGCCAUUGCUUAUUAAAAAAAUAUUGGGAAAAAAUGGAUUAAGGUGGAGCAGAGAAAGUAUCUCUGAAACUUGGCAAGUGAUUAGGACAAAUUAAAAAGCAAAUCAGUGUGAAAAAUACAGCAAAGCAUGAAGCAUGGGUACUCUUUAUAGGGAGAGGGAGAAGGAAGGCAAAAAAGAUGAAGACAACAUAACUAAUCCUCAAAGACCAGGAUGGAAAAGGAGUGCUAAUCAACAAAAAUUUUGAAGACUGAGUAUAUCAGUUGGUUAAGAAUUAUAAUGUGUAUCUUCAUAUAUUAAUUUGUCUGUUCAUUUUUCUCUUUGGCAGGGGAAGUUAGCAAUUAUCCCUGACACUGAGAUAAAAUAAAAGACUAUCAGAAAAAAAAAAAAAAAAACAAGUUAUAAUUUGGAGAUUCAUUCAACUCUUCCUAAGGUUUGUUUGUUCAUUACUUACAAAAUUCAUCUUCUCAAGUAAAAAACCAAACCAAAACAAAACAAAACCAAAGCCAACAAAACAACAACCAACCAACAACAACCAAAAAAAAACCCACUAAACCAAACCAAUCUAAAAAAAAAAAUUCAAAAGUGAAAAUAAGAGUUACAGAGACCUGAGAAGCCUGCAACUUUCAGUGAGGUUGCAAGAAAAAAUGGGAAAAUUUUUCAUUAACAUCUUUGGCUCUUCACUGAUGCAACCACUGCCUCUGGCUUUUGCUGAAGCCAAGCAUUUCCUGCCUAGAACAGAGGGGAAUGUGUCUUAAAUAUCCAAACCAAUCUUCGCUUAUAGAUGUCUCACAAGAUUUUGGUUCUUUUAUUUCUAUACUUUGUAGAAACUCUACCUGACUGUGGUGACAGCUGUGAUGGAGAUAUUACUCUCUGACUUAAGAGAACAGAACGGUGCAAGUAUCUGUCAGUAACUCAGACUAGGGAAGCUACUCCAGUUAUUUCACUCAGCAUUGGAAAGCUGAGGAGUACUUUCAAAAUGAAUAAAUAUUGUGGGCAUGGUCUUAUAUAGGAUCAUAGGAAGUUUUGAUAAGAAAUGCAGAAGAUUGAGACUGGUUUACAGAACUAAGAAUAAUAUACAUUUAUAUAUCAUUUUCUAUUAAACAAAAUACAGAAACCAUUAUUUUGGAAGGUAACCAAAACUUACACAACAAAACAAAGAACCUGUUGUCCUUAAGGUAUGAGAUGCAUGUACCCACUUCUCUGAGUCUGACUCUAUGUAGCCUUCUGCCUAUGCAGUUCUUUGCAACUGUGUGAGGGGGGUGUUGAAAUGGUGUCAUUCUCAUCUGGUGACAUUUCCCGUAGACUUUACACUCUGUCUAAUGCAUGUCGGACUGGGUGAUUGAUAGAAGAGCAGAAGUCUCCCUCUUUUCAUCAAGGAAUAAAAUGAAAAUAUCAGGAAAAAAAAAAAAAAAAAGGUGGGAAGGCAAGUUCCAAACUAAGCAUAAUAUUAGUUCAUAGUGUUUUUGAGGACAUGGAAGAUGUUUCCUUAGCUAUUUGUACUGCGGACACAGAAUACAUAUUCAUGUGCUUUUGCAAUCAUGAUAAUACAGUCUCAACCUGCAGACCUGGUCCUUUGCCUGUUACUGCAAAACUGUAUCAGUGAAUAACAGUAAUACCAAGCAGCUUUAUAGUAAGUCAAGUCAAACUUCACCUUUCUACUGUGCUGUCCUUGACAUUUGUAAUCCUGAAGUGAACUUUAAUUACUCUAACAGCUCCAGGUAGGUCAGAAGAGCAGCCUGUGUUAUGCACCCAAGAGAUGGCUUACUUGAAGUCCAGUUAAUGAAGGAGAACACUCUUAAUUAGCUACCUACUGCUGUGCAUGGACUGCACUUACAGUGCUUUACUUUCAGUUGGGAGGCAGCUAAGUUGCUUCUUCGAAGGCACUAUUAGCUUCCUCUCUGGUAAGAGCAGCUGGGGACUUGCAAAUGCUGAUGUGGUGAAGGACCUUACAGAGUGCAGAUCAACCAUGUCUUUUGGGCAAUGUGUUAAAUCUUCAUUAGCAGGGUAAUAGGAAUUUUGAAGAGCUUUCUUAAUAAUCCUUUUCUGCUGUUUUAUUUUUAAGACAGAAAACUGUGAAAAGGCUGUAUUUAUCUCUUGAGCCAUGAAGCUGAAAUUCCACAUUAUUUAUGUACAAUUAAUUUUCUUGGACUAAUUACAUCUUGACUAAUUAGCAGUAGCACAUUUUACACAAGUCUUAAGCUUAUCUGAAAUACAGAGAUAGCCAUUGCAAUCCAUUCAGACAGGAAGUUCAAACAGGAGGAGUAAAAGAGAAAGACAGAUGAAAUAGCACUUGAAUACUUCCAUCCCGGUGCACAUCCUAAUCUACCCUGCCUGACAAAAUGUCUUCUGCUAUUAGCAAGAUCUUACAGGAAAGUCACCCUGGAGGAGAGAAUGUUAACCCUCCAAAUUUGCCUCUAGGAUUUCCAACUCAUUUUUUCCUAAUGUAGAUGUUGGUAAUGCAGAGGAAUGAACUUAGCAUUGCCUGUGUUGCUGCAUCCUGUGCCUGGGGUUAUGGCUCAUUUCACUCAGAACAAAAAAUAAAGACCAGACAAGGUGUCUGUUGAUUUUGAUGUUCAUUCGGGACAGGUUUCAUUUACAAGGACAUGUCUGGCUGAUGCAGUUCUGCAUUUCAGAAUAUCAAACUUUGUGCUGUAUUAAAGGUAGCAUAUGUGAAACUCAAAAUAAAUACAGAUGUGUAAUUGGUUUCUCAUUUUCCUCCUGGCACCUGAUUCCUUGCUUGUGCAAUUAUUUUCUUCAGUCUGAGGUAGAUAAACCCUAUCAUUCUAAUGCAUUGGUAUAACAUAUGGCUCUCGGGUAGGGGCAAACGACAAGAGAAGAGCUUUGCAGUGGGGAAUCAAGUCCACAGCCUCCAAGAAGAAGCACAAAGCCAGCUCCUUAUUAGCUUGGAAAGAAAAAGUUCCAACAAGCUGCAUUUUCAAGGAAGACUUACUUUGAUAGGACUGGAAAAUUGAAUGCUGAAAUCUGAUGGGUUUCUUUGUUUCUUUCUUUCCUUUAUUUAUUUAUUUUUUUUUCCUGAACAGCAGUAAUUAUUAACAUUUCAUAAUGACUAAGGUUGUUCGUUAAAAAGCAGUGCUCUGCAUUUUCAUUUUUGAAAGUUAGCUUUUGUAAAUAUAAUAUAUUGGUUUCACUUUUCCCAAGAGCCCUCAUGUUUUAUGCUGAACCUGAUAAAAGGUUAAAGAAAAUAUUAAAUCAUACAUGAUGUUAAUCUAGGAGCAUUCAGGCAUUAAAAACUAAAUAUCCAUUAGGCAUCUCUUCUAUACUUCUUCAGAUUUAAUCAUUUAAGUGCCAAUCUCAUAUAUAUUAAAAAGAUUUGCAUUAAAAGGCAGACUGAGCAUUAAAGAAAUGUCCUGAAAUGUUAAUAAUCUUUUGCAAACAUGGAAAUACCAACAGAAUUUUAUUUUUACUUAUUUAUUUAAAUCUACUCUGAUGUGCAAAAGGAAUAGCUCAACAAAUACCGGAGACAAAACAGAAAUAUUAGCCGCUAGAGAAGGCACAGUGACCAUAGCUGCUUCUGGCCACAAAGAUUUCGUAAGUAGAUAAGAGUGAGGUACACCCAGUGUGUGAUAAAUGUUAAACCAGCACUAAUUUCUAUUUUUUUUUCUGCAAGUGUCUCUGAGAUAACUCAGUUACUGACAGAAAACAAUUAACAAAUGGGAAGUACAGGACUAAUCAGGACAGCUCCCUCUGUCCUUCUCACCAAUACCUUUUGGCCAAAGUACACCUCUUCUCUGUUGUGAGAUACAUCUGCUUUUCAUAUUUUUGUCUGAAACACUUGUCACACAGAAAACCUAAUCUGUUAUGUCUCACCAAUACCUUUUGGCCAAAGUACACCUCUUCUCUGUUGUGAGAUAUAUCUGCUUUUCAUAUUUUUGUCUGAAACACUUGUCACACAGAAAACCUAAUCUGUUAUGUCAUGUGUACAUUCAGAAUGUCCAACAGUUAGUCAGCUGUUUAGUGCGCAUGGCAUUAGUAGUAUAUAAAUUAAAGAAGUAGUAUGUGAAUUAGAGUGCACUGUCAGCAAGUUUGCUGAUGACACCAAACUGGGAGGAGCGGCUGAGACACUAGAAGGCUGUGCUGCCAUCCGGUGAGACCCGGACAGGCUGAAGAGUUGGGCAGGGAAAAAUUUAAUUAAAUAUGACAAGGGAAAGUGUAGAGUCUUGCAUCUGGGCAAGAGUAAACCCAGGUUCCAGUGUAAGUUGGGGAAUGACCUGUUAGAGAGAAGUGCAGGGGAAAGGGACGUGGGGGUCCUGGUGGACAGCAGGAUGACCAUGAGCCAGCACUGUGCCCUUGUGGCCAAGAAGGCCAAUGGCAUCCUGGAGUGUAUUAGAAGGGGGGAAGGUCAGUAGGUCGAGAGAGGUUCUCCUUCCCCUCUGCUCUGCCCUGGUGAGAUCACAUCUGAAAUAUUGUGUCCAGUUCUGGGCCCUUCAGUUCAAUAAGGACAGGGAACUGCUGGAGAGAGUCGAGCACAGAGCAACAAAGAUGAUUACAGGAGUGGAGCAUCUCCCUUAUGAGGAAAGGCUGAGGGAGCUGGGUCUCUUUAGCUUGGAGGAGACUGAGGGGUGACCUCAUUAAUGUUUAUAAAUACGUAAAGGGUGAAUGUCACGAGGAUGAAGCCAGGCUCAUCUCCGUGACAAACAAUGAUAGGACAAGGGACAAUGGGUACAAACUGGAACACAGGAGGUUCCACUUAAAUAUGAGAAGAAACUUGUUCAUGGUGAGGGUGACAGAACACUGGAACAGGCUGCCCAGGGAGGUUGUGGAAUCUCCUUCUCUGGUAACAUUCAAAACCUGCCUGGACACAUUCCUGUGUAACCUCACCUAGGUGUUCCUGCUCCGGCGGGGGGGAUUGGACUAAAUGAUCCUUCAAGGUCCCUUCCAAUCCCUAACAUUCUGUGAUUCUGUGAAUUAUUGUAGUAAUAUUUUUCUGUUCAUUAAAAUAAGGUGUAUGACUGCACAUUUUGUAGUAUUCUCUAGAGAACGUACUUUGGAUCUGCCACAGUGCACUAAGCUACUGUCUUCUGUGUGAACCCAGAUUUGCCAUUGUUAUGUUUAUAAUACGUUUGCUAUGUUUCUAGUAAAUUUGAUAUGUUUAUAAUAUAUUACAUGGCAAUCAUCAUACACGAGUGCUGACAUAAUUCAGGAACUGUGCUGUACCUAUUAGAGUGUAGUUUACUCCAGAAGUGGUGAUGGAGGAUACAGGGAAAAGAAAAUGAACAACUCACAACAACAGACUUUACAUCCCUCUGCUAUAUCAGCAUAGAAGUUGUUUCUCUGCUCACGAGCCUUUCCAAUCACUGUUAUGCAAAAUAAGCUUCACUAGAUGCUCGUGAGUAUGAUAAAACCAGCAACUCUUUGUUCUAUUAUGGGAAAAAAAAUAACCUGUACUUCAGCAAUGUAAUUAUCUGUUUGCACUCUAUCUGCUAUUAACUACGUACUCAAAAAAAAAAAAAAAACAAAACCAAAAACCACACAUAUUCUCUGAUUAGUCUUUAUUGCUGAAUCAAAGUAUACAAAAUUCCAAUAAUAAUGUUGCAUUAAUGGCCUCAGAAGAUAUCGUACUUCGGUUGAAUGUAACCUGUUGCCUGCUGACUGUAGCUGGAAUUAGGAGCCACGUAACUCCAUUUAUGGUUAAGCUCUGAGGACAUGUGAGACAAGGAGAAACCUCUCUUGGAAAAGACAGGUGAACCAAAUGGUAACCUUGAAUGCCAAUAAGCUUCAGAUCAGGCACUCAAACACCACAGCUAACCAGGAAUCCAGAGUAUAGCGAACUCAGGAGUGAAAAGAUGUACAAACUGUUUUCUUCUGUAUUAAAAUAGUGGAAUCAUAGGAUGGAGAUGACAGAGAAAGUAAAAUAUGUGGAUACAUUACCAUGUGACUAUCAGUUACCAAUGCUAUGUAACCUUAGCGGGAACGGAAGAAAAAGGACACAUGAGUUGUACAAGAACAUGCUGUAACAUGUGGAUAAGGGCACAUUAACUCACUGGGAGACAGUCUGACAUUCUCUGAAGCACUGUGUGCAGUUCUGGUCAUUCGUGUUCAGAAAGAGAAAUCAGAGUGGGACAAGGCAAAGGUGGACUGCUAUGAUGAGCUGAAGUAUAGAAAGGCUGUCUCACAAGAGGAUUCUAAAAGAGUUCAUCUGGUUUAGUCUAAUGCAAGAAGAGUUGAAAGGCUGUUCUCUAGCAAUGGUUCGGAAGAUAAACAACAGAGGUAUUAAGGUUAAGGGAGGAUAGUGGCACAAUUAUAAAUUGGUAUAAACUGUCUAUGAAAAAAAUAAUGAGGAAAUUAUUAGAAAGUAUCCAAACAGAAGAGGAAGGCUCUUAUCCUUCCUGCAUUUCUAAUAGUAUGCUUCUUCAGAAGAGUCAGCUGUUAUUCUCUGUACCUGGUAUCAUGUAGUCCAAAGAACCUCAUAUGCUGGAAACUCUCAGUAACACAGUGAGGUGGAGAGGAAUGUGCAAAACAAGAAUUCCCCAUAAUUGCUCAUAAAAUAGAUAUAUGCUUCUGUUCUGGAAACUGCUAAAAUUCAUAACUGGCAAAUACAAAAGAGUCAACAUGAGGCAGAGUAAUAUGAGCUAUAAACAGAUUCUAAAUGAAAUAUAAGUACUCUGAGAAGAGAUUUGGGCUUCCUCAUCUAUUAUUCAAUGAAAGUAACUACUCACUUUGUAUCAUAAAAGCAGGCACUAUGCAUAAAGAAUAAGAUAGAAGAUAUUAGAGAUUACAGUGAUUAAAAUCAUAUGGCAGAGACUGAAAAGAUCAGGUUUAAUUUAUACAGAAGAUGAGUGGGAGAAGAGAUGAUGAAGGUAAACAAAAUGAUAUAUGGUAAAUGGAAGAAAAAUUAUGUGUUGCUGUCUGUCCUCCAGAAUGUUCAAUCAAAUGGAAAGCAAAUACAUCUUAAACUAAUAAUAUGAAAGAUAUUUGUCACAUAUUGCUUAACUGACUUGGAGGAGUUCUUGCCAUAGUAAGCCUUAGGAGUCCAGAACUUAAUGAUAUGUACUGGAGAGAGCUCAGUAAAAGAGGGAAUAAAAUAAAAAGAAAAAUAAAAGAAAUAAAAGAAAAUAAAAUAAAAAUAAAAAAAUAAUAAAAUAAAAAGAGAGAAUAGAAUUUUCUUCCAAAUUGCCAUCAGUUAGCACUUUAAAAUCUACAAUUUCUGAAAAUUCAUAUAUAAUACUACCAUUUUCUACAUGUAUCUUCUGGUAGCUUUGCUCCCAGGAUGUGCUAUCAGAUAAUCCCAGGUCCCCAGCAUGACACAGUGUGAUUACUCAUUGCUCUUAUAGCCACAUUGAGAGAUUCUAACUACAACCUCUACUAAAUAAGAUAAAGAUAACUAUUAGAAGGAAGGACUCAUUCAGUGCAUCUAAUUGUUUUUUAUAUAGAUAUACUAUGAAAGUAUGGUGACCAAUUGUAACGUUUAGAGUGGGACUUAAUUUUUCUAACAUUAACCACCUGAAACGGGAGGUACCUAGAGACAACUCAAACAAGAUUAAACUAUGUAAAAUAGAGGAAUCUUCAUCUGGAUCCUUUACCCUUGGUUGUAACAGUGUCACAGAGACUAGUUCAGAUUAGAUAGGUGCAUUUAGCUGUUAUACAACUAGGGAAGAGGAACACCACCUUAGUGCUUGCUGUUACAUGUUUAAACACAAAACAAGCAGUGUCUGAUGUUAGAGCAGGAGUAUGAGGGUGACCUUUGUAUCACAGACAGCUUGUGAAUGACAUCCUGUUAGACCCAGGCAAACCAUUUAUUAAAGAAGGAAGGUUAAAUAUUAUCUCUAGCUUCAAUUAUUUUAAAUACAGAUAAUCAGAAAAUUCCAGAGCAAUUAUUUCUUCACUGAAAUUAGUUGACAUAUGAAACCUGCCUGAUCAUAGAAUCAUAGGAUAGUUUGGGUUGGAAGGGACCUUCAAAUGUCAUCUAAGUCCAACCCGCCUGCAAUGGGCAGGGGCAUCUUCAACUAGAUCAGGUUGCUCAGAGCCCCAUCCAGCCUGGCCUUGAAUGUAUGCAGGGAUGGGGCAUCUACCACCUCUCUGGACAAACCAGUGUGAUAUUCUACAUGACAGAUUUAUUUUUUAUUUUUUUUCAGUGUAUUUUAUCUUAUAAGGAAAUGCAGACCUAUAUGGAAAUAAUUUUCUGUGUCAUUUGCUUUUGUGUCUUUACUCUUCAAUGAUCUAGGCCUCAGUAAAAUUUAUUGAGUGUUGGUAUGAAGCACCCACUCUAUUUUAUAGCACAGAUUCAUUCAGCUACAACAGUGAAGGAGAAGUAUGGGCUCACAGAAGACAGACGUGAAAUUCACUAUUUCAAACAAUUACAGUCUUUCUUAUGUUACCUUUUCCCACCUUCUCAAAUAAUAGUUUUCUGGUGACAGAUUUUCUACUAUCAUAAAAUAAUGAUUAAAAACCCCAGAGCUACAAAUUGUGAUGCAGCUUCUGGCACUGAAGAAAUUAUUUGGUCCUAGAUUCAACAGGGAAAGGACUAUUCACUUAGCUAACCCCUAAACUAAAGUCUUAAGACUAAAGUCUUAAGAUUUCUUCCAGAAAGAAAAAAAAAGGAUAUUUUUUAUUUUAAAAUGGAGUUUUUUCUUGGACAAAGCCAGUAUUUCAACCCAAACUUAUUUAAAGGUCAAACCACCAGGCAACAUAUUGUUUAAUUCUAACUGAUGCUGACAUGAGACAAUCACACAACAGAAAAACAAACAGCUUGAAACAAUGUAGUAGGUGCAUUGAUCACUGAUCACUGGAGAUCAGAGUUCAAAUUACGACUGCGUCCUGAAUUUCAGCCCACUACUUUUGAGUCUGGAGCUGUGCUCUGUAAAAAGUGACCAUCAGAAUAACUAACUUUGCCCAUAAAAAUCUCUUGUCAUUUUAAACUUGAAUAAACCAGUGAAAAUUAGUCAUUUUGUGAGCUAGAAUUAAAAGAUAGGAUACUGGGAGCAUGGGGCUGUCACCUUGCCAACUGAGGGAGGUUUGGUGCAGUUACUCCAGGUGGUACUCAUAGUACAGAGAGCAUUUCACUAAUGAGAUAAGGGACUUACCUCCAUUUUAUCUUACUCUAAGGAACCUAGGAGAUUGAAGUAAUAUAAAUUACCAUUUAUAAUAUGAAGUGAACAUGCUCAACAAGUCUGGAUCAGUACAGUGGUAUCUGAACUGUUGAAGUAAAGCAAAAAAGCACACCAAAGAUACACACCUUGUCUUAAAUCAACUUAUAGUAAAGAACAAGUCCUUUAUACCAGUCUCCAUGUCCAUCUUAUUUCCUAGUUCCUUUUUUUUCUGUUGUUCAAUCUUACAUGCCUUUCUUUCUUUACCCCUUCUACGUUUAUCUUUCUUCUAUACUUUCCCUCCCUACUUUUUGCUAUUUGUGAAACAUGCACUUGGAGCUGAUGCUUGAUUUGCUCUUGAAGAACACUCGGAGAAAUGGAAGAGCAUAAAGAGAAAGAGAAUGAGGAAAGAGACAGAGAAACACAAAUCUCUAAAAAUACUUUUUACAUGUUUGUGUCUCAGAUACAGACCCUAGCUGCAACUUCUAGAGGACUGAAUAAAGAUUAAGGAAUGACCUGACAGAAAUCCUGACUGUGCAGCUGUAUUGACAGCUGGUAGCAAAAUUAUUUUGCUUUCAGAAAUGGCACUGAUUUCGUAUUUAGGUAAAAUUGAGAAAUAAUUCAAGGAGAGGUAUCUGGUUUUAAUAUAGACCUGUUAAUUUCACAGAAAAAAGCUUUUUACUUAAAUGACAGUACUGUUGAUGGAACAGAUGGUGUUCUGUAUCACUAGAAAACCUAAUAAAAGAUAUGAACAUAUUUACACUGACUGGAUUUUUCCAGAGAGACCUUAAUUUUCUUGCUUUUUAUUUGCUAGCUUGUGGGUUUGUUUUUUGGGGAAUGGAGAGGGUUUUUGUUUGUUUGUUUUGCUUUGUUUUGUUUUACUGUUUCCUCUUAUUGAUUUUAAUCAUACUGUAAGAGUAGUCAUAUUCACUAGUUCUUUAUCUGCACUGUAACUAGUUAGGUAAGAAAUAAUAGGCAUUUAUUGCAAAAUUGGAUCACAUAUCUGCUUUUCACUGCAGUUUACCCUCUGAAUAGAUUUCACAUGGAUUUAUCUGCAAUGUCCAGAUGAAAUUAAAUAGUUAAUUAAAAAGCUUGAGCAAUGGAAGUGUUUUGUCUGUAUUAAACCACACAUUUGCCACCCAAAACCAAACCAAACCAAAAUGAUAAAAUUUUUUUCUUUCCUGCUGUCCCUUUUCAGUAUUGGUCUAGUCUUUUUAUCAGAUGUAAUGGUCUGCUUCAACCAGAGCCUGCCCAAACGGGGCAUUGCUGCUUGCAGGUGGA